rnacentral:sRNA from 1 species
CUGUUGAGGGCAUAUAAAAUGGAUAUGUGUUUCCACGCCGCCGGCGGUCACGAUACAGCCUUCGGCAGAGAUGGCUUCCGUCCCGGCUCCCACUUCCAUCCCUGGCGUCACGUUGGGCAUGAGAUCGGGAUUGCCGGCCUUGCCGACUCCGACGAUGCGUCCGUCCUUGAUCCCGAUAUCCGCUUUGACGAUACCCCAGUAAUCGAGGAUGACGGCGUUGGUGAUCACCGUAUCAAGCGCACCACCCGCGCUGGUGGCGCGAGACGAUU